rnacentral:rRNA from 1 species
AUUGAACGCUGGCGGCAUGCCUUACACAUGCAAGUCGAGCGCGAAAGGGGGCAACCCCGAGUAGAGCGGCGGACGGGUGAGUAAUACAUCGGAACGUACCCAGUAGUGGGGGACAACCUCGAGAAAUCGAGGCUAAUACCGCAUACGACCCACGGGUGAAAGCGGGGGACUGCAAGGCCUCGCGCUAUUGGAGCGGCCGAUGUCCGAUUAGCUAGUUGGCGGGGUAAGAGCCCACCAAGGCGACGAUCGGUAGCUGGUCUGAGAGGACGACCAGCCACACUGGGACUGAGACACGGCCCAGACUCCUACGGGAGGCAGCAGUGGGGAAUUUUGGACAAUGGGGGCAACCCUGAUCCAGCCAUGCCGC